GAACCUGCGGAAGGAUCAUUACCGAGAGAGGGACUUCGCGCUCCCGGGGGUUUCGGCCUCCAACUCUUCACCCAUUGUUUACCUACCUUUGUUGCUUUGGCGGGCCCCGAGGUUCGCCUCCCGCUGGCUUUCGGGCCGGCGAGUGCCCGUCAGAGGCCCAUUAAAUUCUGUCUAAUCAGUAAUAUCAGAGUCCAAAACAAAUAGAAAAAAACUUUCAACAACGGAUCUCUUGGUUCCAGCAUCGAUGAAGAACGCAGCGAAAUGCGAUAAGUAAUGUGAAUUGCAGAAUUCAGUGAAUCAUCGAAUCUUUGAACGCACAUUGCGCCCCUCGGUAUUCCGGGGGGCAUGCCUGUUCGAGCGUCAUUACACCCCUCAAGCGUAGCUUGGUAUUGGGUCUUCGCCCCCGCGGCGUACCCGAAAAGCAGUGGCGGUCCGGUGUGACUUAAGCGUAGUAAAUUUUCAUCCCGCUUGGAAAGUUCGCACCGAGGCUUGCCAGACAACCUCAUUGAUUUCAAUAAUUGACCUCGGAUCAGGUAGGGAUACCCGCUGAACUUAAGCAUAUCAAUAAGCGGAGGAAA
rnacentral:rRNA from 1 species